rnacentral:rRNA from 1 species
AUUGAACGCUGGCGGCAUGCCUUACACAUGCAAGUCGAACGGCAGCACGGGGGCAACCCUGGUGGCGAGUGGCGAACGGGUGAGUAAUGCAUCGGAACGUGCCCAGUAGUGGGGGAGUAACUAGUCGAAAGAUUAGCUAAUACCGCAUACGACCUAUGGGUGAAAGCGGGGGAGUUCGCAAGAACCUCGCGCUAUCGGAGCGGCCGAUGUCUGAUUAGCUAGUUGGCGGGGUAAAAGGCCCACCAAGGCUUCGAUCAGUAGCUGGUCUGAGAGGACGACCAGCCACACUGGGACUGAGACACGGCCCAGACUCCUACGGGAGGCGAGCAGUGGGGAAUUUUGGUACAAUGGGCGCAAGCCUGAUCCAGCCAUGCCGCGUGCGGGAAGAAGGCCUUC